UCUGAACAAAAAUGUUUUUGAAUUUUUUAAGUAGCUGUCAACUUCGAAAAGUUCAAAAUUUGUGAAAACCAAAUUGUUUGACUGGAGAAAGGUUUAGAAUUCGCACCUCGACAAAAUACAAUUAGCCUAGCGUAAAUCUGAAUUUUACAUGUUAAAUCGUCAGGGUUGGCCAAGAUAUUUUGUUUCAAAGAUACAAGAUACAAAAUAUUUUGAACGAAACCCAAGAUACAAGAUACUAAAUACAAAUAAUUAGAGUUACACAAGAUACAAGAUAAAUUUUAUCUGCUGUGAUCCCAGAUACACUCUUAGAACUGUGGUAAUAAAAAUGCAUACUCGUUUACUACCGAGCGGUUGGUAAAUAUAGACUUUCCCGGAACAGUAAUGAAAUUGUUUACCAAAAUUCAUUAUAAUGCAAAAACUUUAUUUAUUAUUGUUUGGUAUUAUCGGGAAAACCAAAGCGGUAAUAUAAAAUUACCAAGUUAUGUUAAUUUAACACUGCAGUGAGGAAUAUGAUUAAUACUGCCUCGCAUUGAAUCUUUUAGUUUAAUGGGUAAUAAGUUCAAACUCUAAUGCGGUGUAGUUUUAAUACUACUCCGGUAAAUAUCUUUUGCAAACUCGACCCCGCAACAUUCAAAACCACGAGGACUCGCUCUCCAGAAAAUUUGUUCGUGCUUAGAAUUCUUUUCGAGCUGGUUCUUAAAGGUAAAUUUAAAGUCACUGCAAAGUUUGCUGCCAAACUGAUCGAGCUAUAACAUAUAAUGUGAUUCAUCAUUAAUUCAAGAUCAGAAGUCAUUUGCUGAAACUAUUGUUGACAUCUUGCCGUUUUGGACAUCUCCUGGGACUGCUCGUGGAAUUGUAAAUUUGAAUUUUAAUGUACUAUUUAUGAAAUUUUAACUAAUGAAUACUGUGUAUAAUUUUG